CGGUCAGUAGCUCAGCGGUAGAGCUUUCGUCUAAUAUGCGAAAAAACCAGGGUCCCAAUCCCGGCUGAUUUG
rnacentral:tRNA from 1 species